rfam:Dipodomys ordii contig_61350, whole genome shotgun sequence.
UGGGAUGUAGCUUAGUGGUAGAGUGCUUGCCUAGCAUGCAUAAAGCCCUGGGUUCGAUUCCUCAGUACCACAA